rnacentral:pre_miRNA from 1 species
CUUACUCAAAUUUGUAUGCAGUUGGAAGGUUUGCUACGUUUGCUGCUAGGGGCGCUGUUCCAACGGCAUACAAUUUUGAGUUA